rnacentral:rRNA from 1 species
GGGAGGCAGCAGUAGGGAAUAUUGGACAAUGGGGGCAACCCUGAUCCAGCAAUGCCGCGUGAGUGAUGAAGGCCUUAGGGUUGUAAAGCUCUUUUACCCGAGAUGAUAAUGACAGUAUCGGGAGAAUAAGCUCCGGCUAACUCCGUGCCAGCAGCCGCGGUAAUACGGAGGGAGCUAGCGUUGUUCGGAAUUACUGGGCGUAAAGCGCACGUAGGCGGCGAUUUAAGUCAGAGGUGAAAGCCCGGGGCUCAACCCCGGAACUGCCUUUGAGACUGGAUUGCUUGAAUCCUGGAGAGGUGAGUGGAAUUCCGAGUGUAGAGGUGAAAUUCGUAGAUAUUCGGAAGAACACCAGUGGCGAAGGCGGCUCACUGGACAGGUAUUGACGCUGAGGUGCGAAAGCGUGGGUAG